rnacentral:lncRNA from 1 species
GUUCUGAAUGGCAUGACCGGUUCUGUAUCAGUUUGCAUUGUCAGUUUGUCAUUUUACAGUUCUUUCCUGAAAUCCCUGCGUGCAGGCUGACCUUGGUGACCAGCUCUCUGAGAACUAAAGUGUUUACCAUUUCUAGUCACUGAAUUUGAGUAUAAAACUCAAACCUGAUUUAGACAACACAUGAUUUUUGUCUGUGUGUUUUUGUGACUUUUUGUUUUGUCUGAGACAGUGUCUCACAUUGUAGCAUUGGCUGGCCUGGAACUUGCUACAUAAACCAGGCAGUCCUUGAACUCAAAGAGCCAUCUGUUUCUGUGCUACCACCCUGGGCUUGUUUUGUUUUUGUUAGGAUUUGGCCUCAAUCCUUUGAUCUAUCAGCCUGAGUUCUCAGUACUGGGACUAAAGGCAUAUGCCACCAUGGUUGGCUGAUGGCAGUUUUAUAGAUCGGAGUGGACAUGUCACAAGAAUGGCCAAAGCACAAUAAAUAUACUGACCUCUGUAGCCAGAAUGCCUGUAAACCCUUGAUGAUGUCUCUGUCACCUUCCUUCCAUCUAACACCUUGUAGUGCUUUUGUAUCCUUAAAUGUCCUCAGCAAAUCUGCCAAAGGCCAGUGUCAGGGUAUAAAAGUGACUAAAACCUGCUUUUCUUUCUUUUGAAACAAGACCUUGCUGUGGAUCCAUAGUGCCACACGGCCCAAGGCUGUAGGCUGGGUUACAGGCCUGUUACCACUGAGUCCAGUUUACAACCUAAUCUCCAAAAACCCGGUCCAUGUGGCACAUUAAGUUUCGUCACUUGAGUCUGUGCCACUGUUUAGCCACUGACUUAAUGGAUUGGUGGAUAUUGUGACUUUUAAAAUAUAUUCUAUUACUUUUAAAAUCAUGUGUGUGGGGCGGGGGGAGUGCAGGUGAAAGCAAGUGUUGGCAGAGGCCAGAGGCACGUGGGGCCCUGGAGCUGGGGGUACAAUGUGUUUUCAGUUGUCUGACAUGGUUGCUGGGAAUUGGAAAGACAGUAUGUGCUCUUAACUCCAGUCUCCCCCCUUUUUAAGGGAAGUUUAUUGUGUUCAGUUUCGGUCCCUUACAUGGGGUUGGGGGCUCAGGGUGGUGUGGCUCAUGGAUCCUGGGAGGCAGCCGUGUAUCUUGUUGCAGUCGUGGGUUACUGUUCCACUCUCAGUUAAGGCCUAAAGUCUGUCCUUCCCCAGGUGGUCUGGUGGUUUGAGUACAGCCUGCCCUCCCUGCGCAAACCCUUAGCAGUGCCCCUCAGCUCCCAAACUCAUAGUUACAACCUACACUGCGUCAUUUUACACAGACUUCAACUCUGGUGCCUUUAUUUUUUUCUGGUUAUUCCAUAUAAAAAUAUUCCUCAGUGACCAAGCCCUUGCCUAACAUGUGCAAGGCCUAGACUCUAUCCCCACCUGUUCUGCCCAUACAGAAAAAGCAAGUGGCCCAUUCAAGAGUUCUGAGAUCCAGGCUCUGGGCGAUUUAGUAAGAUGUGUGUCCAGGCUGGGGGUUGGACUGUGUGGCAUGAAGCCACUUGUACAUGGCCAGCAGUCACCACUGACAUAAGCUUCUAGAAGCAUGUUUAAGAGGUCUGAUUUCCACAGUCAUGUUUCCUCUUUAGUGCACUUAAUGCAGCUGGAUAUCACGGUGAAACAAGGACGGGAUAAAGUCCGAGAAAUGUUCAUGAAGAAUGCCCAUGUCACCGACCCCAGAGUGGUUGACCUCCUGGUCAUUAAGGUAACUGACCCUCUCUGACAGACUUAAAAGUUCUGCUGGCUUGUCCUGUGCCUCUGAGUUUUCAAGUAAAUUCUGCCUUGAUUAAAAGACAGCUGCUGUGUUUCCAGGUUCAACUUGGAGGCCCCUUUUUUCUUUUUAAAGCCAAGAUUUCACUAUGUAGUUCUGGCUGUCCUAGAAUUUGCACUGUAGACCAGGCUGGUCCUGAGAUCCACUGCCUCUGCCUCCCAGGUGCCAGGAUUAAAGGUGGCACCACUAUACCCCAUUGGAGGUCUCCACUUUUGAGGUGGUCUCAGUAUAUAGCCUGGGCUGGAACUAGACAUCCUCUUGCCUCAGCCCCCACGUAAGCUUGAGAUUACUGAAGGGGAGGUCUGGGGCAGGGGAGGGGGACACUGCAGCUUUAACAACGUAAAGUAGGAAGUGGGAGUUCCUAUGGGAUGCCACCCUGGGACACCUGGCUCACUGUCUGCAGCCACAAGAAGGCAGAGUGGUUCUGGACAUGGUAAUCUACGGUCAUUGGCAAGUCCAUGCCAAACACAACACAGAGCUGAACUUGAGUGAUGUGUUGUUCUUUUGGUGGCUGGAACUGACCACCUCUUCCUUCAUGUACACAGGGAAAGAUGGAGCUCCAGGAAACCAUUAAAGUGUGGAAGCAGCGGACACACAUUAUGCGGUUCUUCCAUGAAACAGAAACACCAAGGCCAAAAGAUUUCUUGUCCAAGUUCUAUAUUGGCCAUGACCCAUGAGGUCACCUGAUGGGAAGGUGCAUGUUAAUAUUUAAUUAUCUUAGAGUACAAAUAAACCCAUUAUUUGAUGGUCGUGAUAAAGUUGCACUGGUGAACCCUUUUCCUGUGGUCUCUCUUACUUCUUGCCUUGGUGUGGGGCCUUAGUGCCCAUGCUGUGAUUACUCCCUCUCCUGGAGAAGGUUGUUUGCUGCCGACUGAGUCAGACCCUUUUAUGGGAAAGCAGGAAAGGCUAUGUGGUUCUGUCCAGAUCUCCCACAGUGGACAGCUGGAGGGUUGUUACUGUGCUUGUACUUAUGUAUGAAGCUCCCAAGACUGGGCUUCUUGGCACCAAGGCUCUGGGAU